rnacentral:lncRNA from 1 species
AGGGAUAAGGGUGGAAAGCAAAGACAGAAAGAGAAGAACAAGAACAAGGACAAGGAAAUGCAACAGACAUGAUUAUGGUACAUUCCUAUGGACUUAGUUUAGAGAAUAGUUCUAAAAUUUUGCUUGCUAAUAAAUACAACACACACUGGUGUAACUAUAUUCAUAGAUUAGUAUUAAAAUUUUGUUUAUAAUUUUUUUUGUAUAUUUCCAUCGAUGUUUCCUACGGCUUGACCAAUUAAACUUUUUUGUUUCAGGUUGCUUGGUGGCCCUACUGACUUCUACAAGUUAUUAGGACUAAAAUUAUUCCAUUGGUGUGUUCUUGGCUAGAGUAAUGGAGCUAUUAGUUCUUGGUGCCAGACUUCUGAAGUUAUAAGCUUACUGGAGCUAUGUGCUCAAUGGCUGAUGUAUAUAAAGGUGUAGAUUUUAAUGACGCGUCUAUUUUGUAAGUGUGUACUGGAGUGAGGCAUUAUCUUGAGUGACUGAAUCAGAUUGAUGUUGCAUAAUCACACCAUGUGCAGCUAUACUGUUUGCCUUACUUAAAUCUAUUCUAGGCAAUGGUCUCAAUUGCUGGAAUGUGCUAUGUCAGGAGUUCUUGAACUGGGCAAUGGUUUGGUUGUGGUUUCGGCAUUGAUCUGGGCAAUGGUUUAAGUUGUUCUAUUGUACUAUUUGUUCUAUUUAAA